rnacentral:miRNA from 12 species
UCCAAUAGUUCCUUGUCUUUCUUGAUCUGUAGAGCCCAGAACUAGAUGUAGCACUCUAGAUGUGGCCUCAGCAGUACAGAGUAGAU